AUUGAACGCUGGCGGCAUGCCUUACACAUGCAAGUCGAACGGCAGCACGGGAGCAAUCCUGGUGGCGAGUGGCGAACGGGUGAGUAAAGUAUCGGAACGUGCCCAGUCGUGGGGGAUAACGUAGCGAAAGUUACGCUAAUACCGCAUACGAUCUACGGAUGAAAGCGGGGGAUCGCAAGACCUCGCGCGAUUGGAGCGGCCGAUAUCAGAUUAGGUAGUUGGUGGGGUAAAGGCUCACCAAGCCGACGAUCUGUAGCUGGUCUGAGAGGACGACGAGCCACACUGGGACGGGGACACGGCCCAGACUCCUACGGGAGGCAGCAGUGGGGAAUUUUGGACAAGGGGCGAAAGCCUGAUCCAGCCAUGCCGCGUGCAGGAUGAAGGCCUUCGGGUUGUAAACUGCUUUUGUACGGAACGAAAAGGUUUGGCCUAAUAAGCUGAGCUCAUGACGGUACCGUGAGAAUAAGCACCGGCUAACUACGUGCCAGCAGCCGCCGUAA
rnacentral:rRNA from 1 species